CACUUUAAUACAGUUUUAUAGGAUCUGGCUUUGAUAAAAAAAUUCAGUCCAGAAGAAUCUGUCUCUGAAGGUCUUUGUAAAGAUAAUUGUGGUAGAAAAACAGUUCAUGUUCAGUAUUGCUGCACUGUGACAAUGCUGAAGCUUACUUUGGAAAAGGAACUAAACUCACUGUUUUGGGUAAGUUGGACUUCUAACAUGUUCAGUUCCUUGUGUUACGUUUAAAAUAUGCAGUUUAGUAAAAUGGAGAGAAAAAUCUGUUAAGCUUAGGGUUCUGAUAUUUUGAGCUUAACUGAGAGCACUGUGACCAACAGAGACCCUGCUUACUUUGGUCACGGAACCAAACUGACAGUUUUAGGUAAAUAUUACCUUUUAUUUAAGAGCUAUGAUGGACAGCACUUUGUUUAGAGACUCAGUGAGGACAGGAAAACCUUUAAAAAGUUUAAGAUAUAUGGAAAGCAAAAAGGUUCAUGUUGUAUAUUUCUACUGUGAAACAUAGCUUACUUUACUUUAGGCUGUAAAACUGUGCAAGUUGUUAGGCUUAUUUUGCCAAAGGAACAAAACUGACUGUUCAGGAUAAGUAGGGCUUCAAACCAUCCCCUCGCUGACUUAUUUAAUCUAAAGCAAGUCCUUUUUGAUAAAUAACAUCCAUAUUUUACUGCUGAACUAAUGUUAUUUGACAUAAACUAUUCAGGAGUUUUGAAGUGAAAAAGAGCUGCUCAUUGAGGUCUAGUAUUAGAGCUAUUUAACAGUGAAAAAAUAGGUUGCUGUAACUCAAAUAAAAGGAAAAUAUAAAAAGAAGUGUAAAAUCAACAACUUGUAUAGUUAUAAGUAUGGAUCAGCUACACUGUGACUCUGGUUAUGAAGCUUUCUUCGGAGCAGGAACAAAGUUAACUGUUUUAGAAGACGGACGAAAACCUACUCCACCAACAGUGAAAAUUUUUCCACCGUCACCUAAUGAGUGCAGAUACAAAGACAAACCAGAUUGGAAAAUAAGGAAGACGCUGGUCUGUGUGGCCUCUGGUUUCUACCCAGAUCAUGUCAGUGUUUCCUGGAAGCUCAAUGACGAGGAGGUCACUGAUGAAGUGGCGACUGACCCGGCCGCCAAGUGGGAUAAGAAUAAAAAAUAUUACAACAUCACCAGCAGGCUCAGGGUUCUUGCAAAGUAUUGGUUCAAACCCGAGAUUAAAUUCAGUUGCAUCGUCCAUUUCUACAAUGGAGAAAAAAACACCACACACUCAGCCUCUAUUUCAGGAAAUGAAAAAGCUAACAUCAUGACACGAGAAAAAUACCUGAAGAUCACCCAGAACGCCAAAGUCUCCUACAGCGUCCUGAUCGUGAAGAGCUGCGUCUACGGGGCCUUGGUCUGCUUCCUGGUGUGGAAGCUUCAGAGUUCAUCGAGGAAACGGAGCAAGUGAAAAUGAAGAAAACCAGAACCAGAGGCUUAUUUCAGGAUAAAACUCUUGAUCUUCUGUAAAUACAAUUUAAGGGUAGAAACAUCUAUUUCUGUUUAUUAACCUACAAAUGAGAUGAUAAAACUUUCUAAAUAAAAAAAUACAUAUAUAUAUAUUCCUGUUAAAAAAUUAAAAGCUUUUUUUUUACCCUACUUGCUAUUUUUUUCUUAAUA